rnacentral:misc_RNA from 1 species
AAAGAAUAAUCAGUUCAACUCUUCAUUUUUUCACCAAGUGAUGGAAAUUUUUCACCUGAUACAAACCCACCCAAAAAAUAGUCAAAAGCAAUGAGACAUCCUAAAUUAGAAAUGACCCAAAAAAUUUUAGGUUGAGCCAAAAUCAACAUGUUUGUGUCAGCCACUUAUAUGAAUUAAGAUACAAUUCCUCCAGUUCUUCAUAUUACUCAUAAAUAGUAUCAAAGUACUUAUGAAAGUUUAAAUAACAAGUACAUUACAAAUUAUAAAUUUAUAGAUUAUAACACAAGAUUUAAAAGCCCAAAAAUCUUGAAGUUAAAUUGAGUUUUGGUACAACAUCAAAAAUUUGCAUCAUAUUUGGUUUUUUUAAAAAUAUAAAUAAAAACACCAAAAACAGUUCUUCACCCAAUUUAGUCUAUAACCUUUUAGCGAAAGUUAAAUUAUUUACUUAGGACAAUAAUUAAUUUAAUCAUAAAAAAAUUGUGUAAACUAGAUAGGUAUGGUUGUCUUUUCUUUAAGUGCCUGUUAGCUUGAUCCGACACUUUUAUUUUAAGCAACCAUAAUAGAUGACCAGGGGCAGAUCGGGGAAGAAAAAUUAUAUGCCAAACCAAUGUGUACCCAACUCUGCAUUGUUCAUAUGUGGUACAUAUCCAAGAACUCCACAAUGUGACUUUGAUAUUUACACAGUUUUGGUCAUUACUCAUUAGCCAAUUAAUUCUCAGCAAUCAGCAUCCAUAUAUCUCUCUCUGACCCUUUUCUUUGUGGUAUUCAAAACUUUACACACCAUAGUCUUUCAUAUAAUCUCUGCCGCUAUAUGAAAAAUAUGUUCAGCUCAUUUCAAUCACAACGAAGAAAUAACACGUAUUAUGAGUAACAUUAGUCUAACCCUCAUAAAUUACACCAACUCAAUACGCAGCUUUUUCAUGAAAAAAGACCGUCAAGCUUUUGUAUCACCUGAUCUGACUCGACUAGAAAAAAAAAUUCUACUAGUCAACCCAAAAGAUGACCCAAUUACACCCUAAUCCCAAAGUAACCCAAACAACCCACAAAAAGAUGGCAUUCAAAAUAACCCAAACCUGCCUAACUUGAACAAAUUGUCACCUCUAAUUUAUGCAAACCAUACAUGUUUUCACCACACCUUGAUACAUGAUGCUUUCUGCUUUUAGU